AAAUGUUUGUGCUCGCAUUGUUCUGUGUUCUAUUUAUUUCCACUCUUGUUCUGAUUAGUGGGCUUUAACUGUAUUUUAUGUGUGUUUGGGUUUGUAAUCUAUUUUUUAUCCUUACUUCCUGCCGAAUCAGUUUUUAUUGAUUCUUUUAUAUUUCUUAAUUUUAAUUUUGGGGUCUUUCUAGGACGAAGCUAUAAUUACUGUUGUUUGCUUGGUAUUUUGUUUUGUUUUGUUUUAUUUUGUUGAGUUCUCUCAGUUUUAUAUAGGUCCUUUGUAUGCUUCAAAUUUUUUGCUUCUGCUUGUAUUCAUGAAACCCUUAUUCAUGUUCCAGGUCUUUUUAGGGUAUCAUUAUGGCUUAAUCAAUGGAUUCUCUCUAAGAUAGGGUACCUAGGGUACCAUUGUGAUUUUUAUGGUGUGUGACUCUUUGCUCUUCUUUCUCCAUUCUUUCUUGAUUUGUUACAUUUCUUGUUUCUGCGAUGGAUCUAAUCUUCCUGUUGGAUUUUGGUUUUUUGUUUUAAUUUGUUUUCUUGGAAAUUGAAAUCGCGAGUUUUUAUCACGGUCUUCUCUUCCUAUUCUUCCAUUUUUCCAGUGGAGGCCCUGUUUUUUUGAGAUGUUAGGGCCUAUACCCUUGGAUAUAAUUUGUUUCUCGUCACAUUCUGCUUGCUUUCUUUGUUCAUCAUUCAAUCCUGGCUCUUAGUGCAUAGAGCUGCAAUUAUGCUUGUGUGGCAGGUUGUGCCUCGUUCCCUAAUCAGAAUGUACAUUUGAAAAAUAUUGGUUCUAUAAUAUGGGCUCUUCUGGUGUUAUUAUAUUAUGUCUCUUACAAUUUUCGUUUGAUCUUCUUUGCUUUUUGUCUUGGUGAUUGAAAUAUAUUAGUGCUCAUGGCUUUUGUCAACUCUAGUUGUUAUUUACCUAUUAAUAGUUUAUUUUAAUUCUGAAGUUAUUGCUGCAGUGGUUUAAGGGUUCAUUGAUUUAAUUUUCCAAAAUUAUAUGCCGGUAAAUGUCUUCAACUGGAUGGUUUUGAGUAACAACAAUAUGUGGCUUUAAAUUUUAUAAAUAUACCCUGACCAAUAGUACUUUGGAUAAUUCUUUACUUCAUAUUGUGAUCAGUCACUCAUCUCUGAUCUGUUUUUCUUUGCAGUUUCUGAUUACAAUGUUCCUCUUGUGGUUUGAUUUUGUCGAACUUCAUAGUGAUAUUUCUUGGACACGUUGGUCCUGCUGUGGCGUAAGCUAUAUGCUUACUUUUUUUUCAGUUUUCUGGACAUCCAAAUUUUUCUUCGCUUUAUUAUUUUUCGCCCUGAGCUUGACAAUGAUAUAGCAUCAGCGGAUUGGUUCCGGAACUAAUCGAAAUUCCGUCUUCUUGAGAAAACACCCAAGAAGUGGUUUUUUGUGGAAUAUUCUUUGUUUUACAAUGUUAGUACAAUUAGCUUUCUGUUCAUUGUUGUGACUCUUCUGCAUCUGUAUCUUUUAUUGGAUUGGUUGAAGCUCAGAUAUUUAGAUCCUACAGGUGGCUUCACCAUGUUGAUUUGCUGGUCACAAAUUAUGGAUUCACAUAUGGUUAGCACGUUGAGGGUCAAGUUUCUUCCCAAUUUUAAUUCUGUUUCAUUUUUCUAAUCUUUAAUUCUCUUCCAAUGUAUUAUUUUUGGUGGCAACUAUUUGGUCCUUCAGAGACAGUAAGAGUCUUUAUCUGCAUUUUAUGGGAUUCGCAGUUCUAGAUGAUCCAUCAUGAUUUUAGGUGGAAGAAAUUUGGCUGGUUGUUGCAGUGGUCUUGUGACUCGAAUUGGUGUGUUAUAUUCCAUUCGAUCAUAUGCCCAAUGCAUCUUGGAAUUUGUGAUGGCAUUGUAUUUUUGUAACUAAAUUCCGAUAUUUCUCGUCAAAACUUAUUUGGUCUAUUUUGGGUUGGGAGCUCUUGCAUUCACAUGUAGUGGCUGAGUAUCUAUUGCAAUUUUGUAUCAUUAAAGCCAUGCUCAGAUGCUCUUUCUAAAGCUCUGCAUGGUAUUGUUUGAUACUUGGUGGCUCUUUGUUUGAUCAAUCACUUUUAAGGGGUUUGGUUUUCUCUUGAUCGUUUUGUUAUUUUUCAGGACAGAUUAUUGGUUGGAUUAUUAGGUGUUGUCUUGAUGUAUAUAGGAACAAUGGAUCUAAAAGGGAUUGGUUCUCAAUUUUCAGGACAGGUUCGUGGUUGGAUUAUUAGGUGUUGUCUUCAUGUAUAUAGAAGCAAUGGAUCUAAAAGGGUUUGGUUCUCGAUUUUCUGGACAGAUUACUGGUUGGAUUAUUAGGUGUUGUCUUGAUGUAUAUGAAUCUAAAAGGGAUUGGUUCUCGACUUUGCAAGUUUGUCAAUAUGUGCCCUUUUGAUUAUGGGUUAUUUCAUGUGGUUUGAUUUUCACAUGUGGAAGCAAAAUAAAUUUUGGCUACUUCAUUUUCGCCAAAGGAAAAACACAACAUGUUGGAGUGCCGCUUCCACCUCCUACCUGGGAAGCCAAGGAUGCACAAGAACCUCCGUUAAGUCACAGCAUCGACGGUCUUGGUUGGCAUUCUUUAUUAUUCUUUCCUGAACUUUUAUGUCCCAUUGACUGAGGCGAUUUGCAAUUCAGCUGAGUUUUCUUGCUUUCGUCUUUUUUAUUUUAGUGGAAUAAGGUGAUCUAACGUAUGUUUUCUUGUGUGCAUCGGUGAUCUUGUUGGGCAUUCUAUAUUGAUAUUUCUUGAAUUGAGUUUAAUGUGCCAUUGUCACAGCCAAUUUGCGAUUCAACUGAAUUUUUUUGCUCUCGUCUUUCUGAUUCCGAUUUUAGUGUAAUAAGAGGCCUUCGUGGGCAUUAUGUAAUGUUCUCUCAAGAUUCGAGUUUUAUGCCCUAUUGAUAGGAGCCGAUUUGCAAUUCAGCUGAGUUUUCUUGAUUUCGUCUUUUCAAUUUUAGUGGAAUAAGUUGAUCUAAUGGAUGUUUUCAUGCGUGCAUCGGCAGUAGCCUUGGUGGGCAUUCUUUAGUUCUAAACUGUUCUUUCUUGAAUAGAGAGUUUUAUUUCCCAUUAAUAGAGUCGAUUCGCAAUUCAGAUCUGUAAUCGCAACAUUUCCAGUUUGACAUUCAUUGUAUCAUUUUUUACUUGACUCUAAACUGCAUCAUAUAUGGUUAAUU